AGCGAACGCUGGCGGCAGGCCUAACACAUGCAAGUCGAACGGAUCCUUCGGGAUUAGUGGCGGACGGGUGAGUAACACGUGGGAACGUGCCCUUUGGUUCGGAACAACUCAGGGAAACUUGAGCUAAUACCGGAUGUGCCCUUCGGGGGAAAGAUUUAUCGCCAUUGGAGCGGCCCGCGUCUGAUUAGCUAGUUGGUGAGGUAAAGGCUCACCAAGGCGACGAUCAGUAGCUGGUCUGAGAGGAUGAUCAGCCACAUUGGGACUGAGACACGGCUCAAACUCCUACGGGAGGCAGCAGUGGGGAAUCUUGCGCAAUGGGCGAAAGCCUGACGCAGCCAUGCCGCGUGAAUGAUGAAGGUCUUAGGAUUGUAAAAUUCUUUCACCGGGGACGAUAAUGACGGUACCCGGAGAAGAAGCCCCGGCUAACUUCGUGCCAGCAGCCGCCGUAAUAC
rnacentral:rRNA from 1 species